rnacentral:rRNA from 1 species
AUUGAACGCUGGCGGCAUGCCUUACACAUGCAAGUCGAACGGUAACAGGUCUUCGGAUGCUGACGAGUGGCGAACGGGUGAGUAAUACAUCGGAACGUGCCCGAUCGUGGGGGAUAACGAGGCGAAAGCUUUGCUAAUACCGCAUACGAUCUACGGAUGAAAGCGGGGGAUCUUCGGACCUCGCGCGGGCGGAGCGGCCGAUGGCAGAUUAGGUAGUUGGUGGGAUAAAAGCUUACCAAGCCGACGAUCUGUAGCUGGUCUGAGAGGAUGAUCAGCCACACUGGGACUGAGACACGGCCCAGACUCCUACGGGAGGCAGCAGUGGGGAAUUUUGGACAAUGGGCGAAAGCCUGAUCCAGCCAUGCCGCGUGCAGGAUGAAGGCCUUCGGGUUGUAAACUGCUUUUGUACGGAACGAAAAGCCUCUUUCUAAUAAAGAGGGGUCAUGACGGUACCGUAAGAAUAAGCACCGGCUAACUACGUG